AGAGAGAGAUAGGAAAAGGCGACUGCCGAUUUCCCCUGGGUGGGUCAGCCCAGGGGUGCCGUCUACGUGAAGCCGGGGCCAAAGGGGUGUGUUGCCUCUGCCGGGGGGCCUUAAAGGUCCAAACACCCGGCGUCGGCUCAACCCCCAGGAUCCCCUUUUCCCCGGACACGGCAAAGCCACGCACGGCUAGGCGUGGGAGGGGGUCGAAACCCCCCCGUUAGCUCGGGUCCGUGGUGUCGCUACACACCAAACGCCUACUUGCGCAGACGCCCCUGCGGGGGC